rnacentral:rRNA from 1 species
AACGCGAAGAACCUUACCUGGAUUUGACAUCCUCGGACAACCCUAGAGAUAGGGCUUUCGUAGCAAUACGACCGAGAGACAGGUGCUGCAUGGCUGUCGUCAGCUCGUGUGGUGACAUGUUGGGUUAAGUCCCGCAACGAGCGCAACCCUUGUCCUUAGUUGCCAGCAUUCAGUUGGGCUCUCUAAGGAGACUGCCGUGGUUAACACGGAGGAAGGUGGGGAUGACGUCAAGUCCUCAUGGCCUUUAUAUCCAGGGCGACACACGUGAUACAAUGGACGGUACAGAGGGAAGCGAAAGCGCAAGCUGGAGCCAAUCUCAAAAAGCCGUUCUCAGUUCGGAUUGGAGUCUGCAACUCGACUCCAUGAAGUUGGAAUCGCUAGUAAUCGCGGAUCAGCACGCCGCGGUGAAUACGUUCCCGGGCCUUGUACACACCGCUCGUC